ACCUGCGGAGGAUCAUUUACCUGAGAGCUG
rnacentral:rRNA from 1 species